CGCGUAGGCGGUUUGAUAAGUCAGAUGUGAAAGCCCACGGCUUAACUGUGGAAGUGCAUUUGAAACUGUCAGACUUGAGUAUCAGAGGGGAAAGUGGAAUUCCCGGUGUAGAGGUGAAAUUCGUAGAUAUCGGGAGGAAUACCGGUGGCGAAGGCGACUUUCUGGCUGAAUACUGACGCUGAGGCGCGAAAGCGUGGGGAGCAAACA
rnacentral:rRNA from 2 species